rnacentral:snoRNA from 1 species
UUCUACAAGGAUGAGAAAAUUUUUAUCAAUAUUAUUACAGUUAUCCCUGUCUUAAUAAAUCAUGUCGAGAUUAAAUAAUCUGAAGUUUUG